ACAAAUUGGUUCUCCUCUGAGUAUUACUAUAAAUAGGACAUUUUCCUUUGCUUUUGAAAAAAAAACUCACCUUGCUUGAAAGUUUAAAAGAAAAAAAAAAAGAAAAAAAAAAGGACAGUAAAGUGAUGAAAUUCUUGGAGGAGAUAUAGGGCUUAGCUUGUGUUUUCUUAAAAUUUUGAGCUAAGCUUUGGAAUAGAGAUAGAGAAAAGUAGAAUUGUUAAGAAAAAGAGUGGGAGACUGAGUUCGUGAAUACAGUGGAAAAUUGGGAAACACCUUACAUUUCUAGCAAAAGCUUUGGUGUCAAGGUAAGGGGCUUCUUGUGUGAGAAUAUAUGAAGAAUAGGGUUUGUAUUCAGUGAGUCAAACCGUACACAGAGGCAUGUGUUUUAUACAAGUAAAUGAAAGCUAUUCUAGGAAAACAGAGAAGCUAUUCUAGGUAAACAGAACCUAUUUAUGUCGAUUACAAUUUUAUCCUACAACUACUCCUAAUUAGAUCAUAAUCAGAUCAUUGACUAUUUUGUUUCCUUUUACACUACCCCUCAAGUUGGAGUAUGGAUGUUAAUUAUACCCAACUUGCUGAGAUGCGUAUGAAAGAUGGGUGCCCUUAGCGGUUUUGUAAAGAUGUCAGCUAUCUGAUUUCCUAUUGGCACAUAAGCUGUCUUGAUUUCACCCUUUUGGAUCUUUUCACGAACUGUGUGACAAUCUAGCUCGAUAUGCUUAGUUCUCUCAUGGUACACCGGAUUCGCAGCAAUAUGUAAGGCUGCUUGAUUGUCGCAAAACAAUCUUGCUGGCCCAGAAUGUGGUACCCGUAAAUCUCUCAACAAAUAUCUUAACCAAGUAAGCUCACAAGUGGCUGCAGCCAUCGAACGGUAUUCUGCUUCGGCUGAUGAUCUAGACACCGUGACUUGCUUCUUACUCUUCCAGGACACGAGUGAGUUUCCAAGGAAAAUGCAAUAUCCUGUCACUGAUCGUCGUGUCAUAGGACACUUGGCCCAAUCCGCAUCACAAUAACCAACCAAACUUAGCUGACUUCUUGUAGAAAAUAGUAAGCCUUGCCCAGGUGCGUUCUUCAGGUAUUGAAGAAGAUGACGUGCUGCCUUGAGGUGGUGUAGCUUGGGUUCUUGCAUGAACUGACUCAAAGUAUUCACUGCAUAUGUAAUCUCUGGCCUGGUGAUGGUGAGGUAGAUUAAUUUUCCAAUUAAUCAUCGAUAUUGAGCUGGUUCCUUGAGGGCAUCACUAUCUGUUGUCGUUAGUACCAACUCAGGUUCCAUGGGGACUUUAGUGGGCUUCACUCCAAGUAAACCAGCUUCCUCCAAUAUGUCUAGAGUGUACUUCCGUUGUCAAAUUGAAAUCCCGUCUUUAGAGCGUGCAACUUCCACACUAAGAAAAUAUUUUAAUAGUCCAAGAUCUUUAAUCCGAAAACAUCCUUUGAGAAACUGCUUGAGAUUCUGAAUUUCCUGCUCAUCAUUUCCUGUAAUGAUCAUGUCAUCAACAUACAGUAAUAUCACAGUAAUAGAGUUUCCACGAACCAAAGUGAACAACGAGUAAUCAGCUCGAGAUUGUUGGAAACCAAUGUCUUGAAUGGCAGAAGAGAACUGACGAAACCAAGUGCGUGAGGCUUGUUUAAGACCGUAUAAUGAUUUGUGGAGUCGACAAACCAUCUACUCCCCCGGUCGACAAUAACCAGGAGGUGGUAACAUGUAAACCUCCUCAAGCAAAUCCCCGUGUAAAAAUGCAUUUUGUACAUCCAUUUGAUGUAAAGGCCAAUCGGGAACUGCAGCAAUGGAUAACAAGCAACAGACGGUGAUCAAUUUGGCCACGGGAGCAAAAGUCUCCUUGUAAUCGAUGCCCUCGCGUUGUGUAAACCCCUUUGCAAAGAGUCGAGCUUUGUAGCGCUCGAUGGUGCGAUCCGAGUGAUACUUGAUCUUGUAGACCCACUUGCACCCAAUGGGGCGAUGACCCAAGGGCAGAGGGACAAGGGACCAAGUACGGUUGUCCUCAAGGGCCUUGAUCUCAGAACUCAUGGCAGCAAGCCAUUUGGGAUCCUGACUUGCCUGUGCAUAAUUUGCUGGUUCAACCAAGUGACAAAUGUUGGAAACAAAAGUACGGUGGGCAUGAGAUAACUGAGUGUAAAAGACAUACCGAUGGAGGGGAUACCGUGUAACACCCCGACCCCAAAUUUUUCCAAAUUUUACCCUUAUUUAAUUAUUUAAUUAUUUAAGGGUAUUUUAGUCAUAUUUUUAACCGGAGAGAGUUUGGGACCGCGACUUGUAUUUUUGGAUAGGUCGUACUGAGACGAGUUCAUAGACACGUAGUGGGCUCGAAUCGGAGUUGUAACGAGAGAGAUAUGGUCAAAAGAAACUCAGUGGCAUAAUCGUAAAUAUUUCAAAAUGGGAUUUUUUAUAAAAAACCUGGUUUUCUCUCUCUCUCUCUCUCUCUCUCUCUCUCUCUCUCUCUCUCUCUCUCUCCCUCGCGGGUCUCUCUCUCUCCUCUCCCUCGCGCGCGACACCGGCCACGUUUUGGCCGGCCGUGCUCUCCUCCGGCCACCAAUGGCGACGGGACCGGUACCAAAAUGACUGGGCCGUCGUCCUCUUCCUACCCCAGCCAGCCCCCGCCUCCAGCCGCCGCGGUUUUGCCGGAAUUUGGAGAAGAAGCGGCGGAUGUCGCCGGAACUUCAACGUCGUCGAUCUCCCUCCUCCGGCCACCAAAUCCGUCGACCCAGGUAUGGAUUUUGAAGCUCUCGAGCUGCUCUAGCUGAUGGUUGGGUAGGAUUAGAUCGAUUCUUAGCGUAGGCAACUCAAUUUUCGAAUUGAAAAUCGGCCGAAACUUCGGCCGCCGUGAUCGGGCAUUUCCGGUCACUUUUUGGGGUAGGUCCAAGAACAAAAGUGACUCCAAAUGAGGUGUUUUACCUAGGAUAGGAGUUUGGAGUCUUGGUUCCGAGAUUUUUCGACGAACCAUAAUCGCUUUGGACACCCGAUCUGCCCGCGCGUGUGGCAGCGCGUGGGCGAGGGUGGUGGAGUGACUCUGGGCAGUUUUGAGAUCCUCGUGCCGUCACGAGUGCGUAGAAUUUCGCGGAUCUCAAUUUGGACGUCGUUUGACUAUCGAACGGAUAAUCGCAUAUUAUGCGUUAUCCGGGUUCGAUAGGUUGGGACCGUCGGAUGGUCCCAAAUUUAAUAUAUGUUAAUCUAGGUAUUUCUAGGAUCGUGUAGGAAUUCACGGAUCGUAAAUCGGAGCCCCGGAUGUUCCAAAUAAUAAUUUUAAUUUUAUAUUGUAUAUUAACCGUCGGAUCGUGCGGUCGUGAGAAAUCUGACCGUCCGAUCUGAACCAAACUUGCAGGACAAGUGUCCUAUACCUGGUAGAACCCAUAGGGACUUCCGGAUCGGAAAUUGGAGGUCGUGGGUUCUGCAGGUCCGGUUGACCAGGGUUAGAAUUGUUUGACCCUUGGUUGACCGUGAGUCUUCCGGUGUAAUCCCACCUUUUUAAAGGGGGAUUAUCGGGUGCUAGACCAUUGUGGACGAUUACACAAUAUAAGAAUUAAUUUAUAUAAAUAUAAUUAUAUGUGGUUGUACAAGGGUACAACAGAGUCUAGAAUGUCAGUUUGGAGUGCUAUACGCACUACUUUAGGUACCUCAUCGGACUUUGGAUUCAUUAGAAGCACCACCAAGCGAAAGUUAGGUCCCACGUGGCGUAGGUUAUCCGGCGUUGAGACAGGCCCCAUACGUGGCGUUGGUUGUACCGGCGUAUGGGGAGCUAUGUAAUAUUAUGUUGAGGUCGCACGUGGCGUAGGUUAUCCGGCGUGUCGACAGACCCCAUACGUGGCGUUGGUUGUACCGGCGUAUGGGGAGCUUUGUGAUAUAAUAUUGAGGUCCCGCGUGGCGUAGGUUAUCCGGCGUUGGGACAAGCCCCAUACGUGGCGUUGGUUGUACCGGCGUAUGGGGAGUUAUGUGAUAUGAUGUGCAGGUCUCACGUGGCGUAGGUUAUCCGGCGUUGAGACAGACCCCAUACGUGGCGUUGGUUGUACCGGCGUAUGGGGAGAUAUUAUGAUAGUAUGGCAUGGUCGCACGUGGCGUAGGUUAUCCGGCGUAUUGACAGGCCCCAUACGUGGCGUUGGUUGUACCGGCGUAUGGGGAGAUUAUAUGAAAUACAAAGAAAUGAAAUAAGGUAUCGCCCAAGUGGGGAAUUGAGUUUUAGGGAAGAACUACGUGUGGCUUGAUCCCUCAAGGAGGGUACGUAGGCAGCCUAAGUUAUUAGGUGCAGCCGCAGACUAAAUAUUAGUCAUAAUUUGUAUUUGAAUGGUUUGGUAGUUGGUUAGGAAUUAUUGAAAGGCCGAAGGCCAUUUGUGUGAAUUGCAUGAAAUUAUAUUGUGCAUGCUGCCAGUUGGGAAUAUUAAAUGUGUUUUUAUGCAGGUUGAAAUUUUGGGAAAUGUCCAAUUUAUAGGGGAGACUCUGCCGAAAUUUCGGCAGGAAGUCUCGGUUUUUAGUAAGUGGGCAUGGCAUCGGGGUGAUGUCAGGAAUUCCAAAGGGUUCGUCUCGGGUUUUGAGAAAAUUCGGGGCGGGUCCUUAAAUACCGGGUGCCGGACGGAGAAGAAGAGGGAAGACCAAGCGAGAGCAGAGCAGCAUGGUGGGCCUGGUAGUGUUUAAAAUGAGCCGGUGGAUGGGAGGGUCUGUUGGAACGACGAAGGGGAAGAUGAGGGCCGAUUGCGAUGGUAUCCGAAUCGGGUGAAGGGAUGUCUAGGAGAGCUGGGAUAUGUGGUGGAUCGGUUGGGUCUUGUAAAGGCGACACAGGGAGAUCGAGAGGAAGGUCUGGAGUGGUGAUGGAAGAUCUGGACGGUGAGGACAGUAGGGCUGGAGGUGUAACAGCUAAAGGGGGGUCGGUGUGUGGGCUGGAAUGAGUUGGGGAUGUUUCAAAAAAAUUAGGGCCAGCUAUGUGUGGGUCAGUAAGUGGGAUAGGUAAAACUGGGAGGUCUUGUUGGUCUUCACACGGUAAGUGAGCAAAAGGAAACGUGUAUUCAUGAAAUAGAACAUCACGUGAAGUAACAAUUUUGUGGUUAUCAAGAUCAUAGACAAGGCAACCCUUCUGACCAAGGGGAUAUCCUAAAAAUAAACAACGACGCGCACGAGUAUCAAAUUUGUGAAUGGGAGUGAGAUUCGUAGCAUAGCGUAAACACCCAAAAACCUGGAGGUGAGAAUAGGUAGGUUGAACCCCGUGCAACAAUUCAUAAGGGGUUUUAUGGGCAAGUAAGGGUGUAGGGAGUCGAUUGAUGAGAUAAGAAGCAGUUUGAAGACUUUCUCCCCAAAAUUUCAAAGGAACAUUAGCUUGAAAACGUAAGGCUCGAGCAACAUUCAAAAGAUGGCGGUGUUUGCGUUCAACAACCCCGUUUUGUUGCGGUGUGUGAGCACAAGUGUGGUGAAAAAUGGUACCAUGACUAUCCAAAAAAAAAACGCAUGGAGAUGAAUUCACCACCGUUAUCAGCACAGAGAACUUUGAUGUCAUGAUUAAAUUGCGUUUUGACCCAAGAAAAAAAUGAUUUUAAAAAGAUUUGUGUGUCAGACUUAAAACGCAUAAGAUGAAUCCAUGUGAAGCGAGUAAAAUCAUCCACAAUAGUUAAAAAAUAUCGUGCCCCAGAAUGUGUAGGAAUUUUGUGUGGGCCCCAUAUAUCACAAUGUAUUAGAUCAAAAGGUGCGGUAGAUUUUAUUGAACUAUGAGUAAAAGGCAAGCGUGUUUGCUUUGCAAGAGGACAAACAUCACAAACACGCGCAGAAUCAAACAUAAUAUGGGGAAUGGCUUUGGAUAAAAAAUGGAGAGGAGCAGAGGAAGGGUACCCAAGGCGUUGGUGCCAGAGAUCCGAGGUACGGUGAAUAUGAUUAGCUAGGUGGGGAUUUUGUUGUGGCGUAAGGUAGUAGAGCCCAUCAAAAUGCUUGCCCAGGCCAAUCGUCCUCUUCGUUUCCACGUCCUGCACAACACAAAGCAAGGAGUUGAUUGUAUUGCUCGGUUGUGAAGGUGGGGCCUCCAGUAGCAGAAGCUGUUGGACCCUUGGUAGGAGGUGUUUCCAAUUCUACACUGUGAGCAGCAGCCCUCUUGUCAUUGUGGGCAGGUGGCUUCUUAUUCCUGGGUUGCACAUUCUUCCCAUGCCAUUUGUGACCCGUUGGAAAUCCAAUGAUGUAAUAGCAAUGAUCAACUGAAUGACCCUCUUGGUCACACUGAGAGCAUUUGGAGGGUUUGUAGGGGCGGAAAAAGCCUGUGGUCGCCGGAGCAUGCGAAGUCUGCAUAGCGUGAGAAUAAGAUGGAUUUUCUCGGCGACUUGCCACUUCCAUCUGUCUCUCAUGUUGGAGAAUUAACCCAUGGACUCUUCGUGUAUCAGGAAUAGGAUGCAUCAUCAAAAUGGAGCCACGAACAGUGGAGUAAGAAUCAUUUAAUCCCAUUAGAAAUUGCAUGACCUUCUCCUUUUCCUCACGAUCUGCAAGCUUUUUCAGGCCCUCACAGUCACAAAUGAGGGGUUCAUGAUAAGUAGACAAUUCAUCCCAAAGUGCCUUGAGUUUGGUAUAGUAUAUGGAGACUGAUUGUUGUCCUUGACGACAUUCGACAAUUUCUUGUCGAAUUUGGUAGAUCCUGGAGUCAUUGCUCUGGGAAAAUCUGUCUUUGAGAUUGUUCCAAACGGCGGCUGCUGUGUCAGAAUAGAGGACGCUGCUGGCAAUGUCGGGAUGAAUCGAGUGUAGGAGCCAUGACAAUACCAUGUCGUUGCAACGCUGCCAUAUAGGAAAUUUGGCAUCAGUUGAUGGUGGUGCUUUGACAGACCCAUCGAUUAGUCCAAGUUUAUUCUUGGCACUGAGACUGAGACGCCCCGAGCGACUCCAUUGUCCAUAGUUAUUUCCUUUGAGUGGUGCAUUGGCAAGAGUGAGCCCUGGUGUGUCGGAAUGGUGCAAAACGAGAGGAUCAGAUAUGGUUGACGAAUUGGUGAGGGUCGUUGAAUCUGUGGCUUGUUGAAUUGGGAGGAUUGUUGAAUCUGUGCGUUGUGGUUCACCCAUGGUGGUGUGCUUAGUAGUUUUGUGGGUGUCUGUAGCGGAAGGUAGGUGGGUUUUCAGAGUCACCAGUCUUGGUGCUCUGAUACCAUGUGAGAAUAUAUGAAGAAUAAGGUUUGUAUUCAAUGAGUCAAACCGUACACAGAGGCAUGUGUUUUAUACAAGUAAAUGAAAGCUAUUCUAGGAAAACAGAGAAGCUAUUCUAGGUAAACAGAACCUAUUUAUGUCGAUUACAAUUUUAUCCUACAACUGCUCCUAAUUAGAUCAUAAUCAGAUCAUUGACUAUUUUGUUUCCUUUUACAUCUUGGAGGCCUUUACAUAGAUGAUUUAAUUAAAUUUCGUGAGCACUAUAUUAUUCGUGAUAUGAUUAUUUGGUUAAUGUUCUUGUUACAAUUGAAUAGAUUCCCUAGAAUGUUUAUGUGUUAUUGACUGGUUGAAUAAUGUUGGCAUAAUUAUAUAUACACUGGUGAUAUUUUAAAUGGUUACAUUGUUGUGAGAUACAUGGCAUAUGUGAAAGGAAUAAUUAUAUCAUGUCAUGGAAAUUUGUUGGAGUUGUUGGAUUGAGAAAAUAAUGAUGGAAAAGAGGGUAAUAGAAAUAGUCUUUUGUGGAGUUGAGUCUAACUCUUGGCAGGUACUAGGUCUCAGGGAUCCCACAGUGCACUUGGUUUUUAUUAGGUGAUUCGGGACUGGCGAUAGAGAGUUAGACAAGAUGACUAACAAAAGGGGCAUUAUGGGAUGAUUGAAAUGGGUGUUAGUUCAUAUAAAUGGGCAUUCGGGACCAAGUGGUAUAAGCAUGGUAUGGGACGUGUUGGUCUGCUUGUUCAGUUAUAUGAAUUAAUGGGAUUAGAUGAAGAGCAUUCAUGCAUUAACAUUAUUAAUAUGAUAUUUGGUAGUGUGAUUGCAUGUCACUAAAUUUAGUUAGGUCAAUUUUCUGUGGUAAGGUCUCAUGUCCCUACUGAGCAGUGGUUGCUCACCCUUCACCUUGUUUAAUUUUUCAGAUGAAUUUGUGGGUAAGACAAGGACUAAACCAGUUGAGG
rnacentral:lncRNA from 1 species